GGGCGUGGUGCGCCCCCUGUUGGGCCUGGAAAGCGUCCUGCACCAACCUAGAAGCCAAAAUGGGGCGCCGGAGGGCAGGGUGCAUGCACGGGGGCACAUGCGCGGGGGACACACGUGCAUGUAUGGUGGGGCGCUCGCAUCACAUUUUGGGGGUUCUGGCAUGCGUGUGUGCAUUCGUGCGCAUACACUUUGGGUGCUCGGCACCAAAAAGGUUAACCAUCAUUGGCCUAUAGACAUGGGGGGGGGGUGGAGUAUCCCUCUUUUAUUGGAUAUCUUCAAGCAGAUGCUGUGUAACCAUGUCAAGGAUGCUUUGGAUUCCUGCGCUGAACAGAUUAGACUCGAGUUUGAGCGACUCCUUCCAAUUCUAUAUUUUAUGACCUAUUUUCAUUCUGAGGGUCACUUUGGUGUAAAGAUUAAGAACUCAGAAAUGAAGAGACGAGUUUGAAUCCUGCCUAUUAGGCAUCAAGCCAGUUAAGACGACUUUGAAGCAGUCGCUCUCUCCCAGUCCUAGGGAGAAAGCAAGGGCAAAGCACCUCUGAAAAUCGUGCCAAAAAACCCUUCCAGCUUUGGAAGCCAUAUGAGGCCGGAAGCUUCCGUGCUGCCACCUGCCAGUUUCCAGGAGACAAAACUGACCUGAAGGUGUUUGACUUUUGGAAAAGGGUUUUCCUUUUGCGGAAUUUUGCCCUGUGUCUAUGUUACAGUUUGAAACUUACACCAUUUUCUUAGAGCACAUAAACUUUCUUUCAUUGAUUAUCAUUUUUUAGUAUUAAAAAGGAAGAAUAUUAAAUAAAAUAUAUGUAAGCUUUCAUGGUGAGAUGGCCAAAAUGUUCAUAACAUAAAUCUUAAUUCUGAAUCCAGUAGGGGGCACCAAAGGAAUGCGACAAAUUUUUAAUUUUUGCCUACUUUACCAUCCAUCUAGUUAUGAAAUUGUAUAUACAUUUUAUGACAUGUUUACCUUUAUAGUUUUAAUAUGAUUUUACAUAUUGUUUUAACUUUUGUCUGGGUGCCACCCAGAGUUGAUUAGAACCUGGGCAGCUAUAUAAAUGUUUUAAAUAAAUAAAUUAAGAGCAUAAAACUUUAUGUAAGGACCAAUUAGAAAACUACAAAAAGGUUAUAAAACUGUAGCAACCUAUUUAAAACGGGCAGGCUGCACAAAACAGCUUUUCUGAUUCAAACAACACCUAUUGAUUGGAUGAUGCUGUUGUUUGAAUAUCUGAGGCAAAUUUACUAUGGUGAUUCUCUGAUACAAUGCGGUCAUUUCCACAAACCUGAAGCAGGUUUUUUUUUUCUUCCUAUAAAAGCUUUUUUUAAAAACCAACAUCACUGAGCCCCAAACUAACCAGUCAAAUUUCAGCCUCCUAUGCUGUGGCAAUCCAGUCUCUUAAGUUUAUGUAAACUACUUUUCCUAAUUUCAAAAUACUUUACAAAAGCCUACAGGUUCCCUAUGUUUUUGUGUGUUUGUGUGUGUAUGUGUGAUUGCACGCAUGGAUACAUUCAAGUUUGGGAUGUUAUGUAACUAACAAUAAUAUUAGUUUUAUUCUAAUUUUUAAAAAGUGAAAACAUUGCAGUGUGAAAAACAAUGGUGAGUCUUUAGUGUCCAGAAAUGAGUGAAUUAUUCACUGAUGACAUAGAUGUCAGGAGCAAUGCUUGUACCUCCAUUUCAAUCACAACUCAACCAGCAGCUUAAUUCUGAGUAUUUUAUUAGCCUUCCACCUCUGCCCCCCUUCCUAUUCCAUUCUUUGGAAUACAAAAGCAUAAAACCCCAACUUCCAGAUGCAAGCAACCAUAACCCCAACCUAUUCAUGGUAGAUAUUUACAGUGGAAUGGCUCUUGGGUGGCUGGAUAGUUUACUCUUUGCCUUUCUGGGAAUUCUUAAUGUAUGGUCCCAACAUAUCUGAUGGACAGAGUUGGCCUAUAUUGUCAUGCUUUUAGUUUCUGUGGUGAAGUUGGCAAUUAUGAGUUUCACAUUGAACAUAACACGAAAUACCAACACAUGAGAAGCAUGGAUUUGAGUGCAAAAAAGCAUGAAGAUUACAACAAGGAAAUUCUCAGCACUGUGGGAUCUUGUAAACCCUUAAAAUAAUUAAGGCUCCACAACCUCACUAACUAAGUUUGAUGACAGAUGAAGAAUAUAAAAUGAAGAAUAUGAAAUAAUGGAAUUCUUCAAAUAGGAUGCUGUUUAAAACCUAGUGGGAGCAACAGCAAAACCUAUAACUUCUCUAGGAAAGGUAUCCCACUGAUAAGAAAAGGUCUCAAAUAAUAUUUUCCACACCAAGUCAUCCAGGAAUUGAUUAAAUUAUAUAGAAAAAAGCCACCAAAAGUCAGAACUGAUUUAAUUAUCCACUGGACUGUCUAAGCUUCCUUAUGAAACUGACAAGCUAUAGAAAUGCAGCAGGAAACUUCUGACAAUGAUAGGAUUAGAAAGAUUUUGCUGUCUUGUUCUAAAUUACAACAAAUGUAAUCUUGUAGAGUACCAAAAAAGACAGACGUAAUCAACCAAAUGUAAAGACUAACCUUGUGAAAGAAAUUGCAUAGAUUGACAUGUAAACAACAAAGUAACAUUUUGCAAGAAGAUCUGAGCUAAUUUUUAUUUAGGGCGGUUGAUUUGGACCUCUGUCCCAAGUGUGAGACUCUUUAUUUCUGCAGAAAUAAACAACUGAAAGAUGCCUUUCUCAUUCCAGCAUGACUUAUUGAUCAUUUGUGCCAGGAAAACAGAAUCCAGUUGAAGCUCUGGCUAACAAAGUUGAAGUGUAACCCAUUCAGAAGACAACAAACGGAGGAAGGCUGUUAUACAGAUCACAAACCCCGGUUGAUGAGAACAGCAUGGCGUGCAAGACAACACCACCGAUUACAAUAGUUACAGCAGCAGCUCUAGCUGGAUGAUCAGUCGGUGUGAUUGGAGGGGUUUCAAGAAGUUGUCUCAUCUUCAUUCACAUCAGGCAGUUCUGG